rnacentral:snRNA from 1 species
UUUGUAGUAAUUAUAAAUAUUUGA